UUGACUUUGCAUUUUCUUUCUCUAUAAUGCCCUUGGUGGUCAGGUUUUGCCCGUAAAUUUGGAGACUUGUGUGUCCGUUUAUUAAUGUUUGGUUAGCCUUUCUUGUAAUUGUGACCAUGUUUGUGCCCUUUUAUUGUUCUUUUCCUUAACUUUAUCGGGAUUACCCGAUGGGGUGGAGCUCGAGGAGUCAGAAAUGCCCAUUUUUCCUCUCCUUUCUUCAUCGUUGUCUUACUCUUCAGCUCAUCUUCCCAUCAAUCAGCCUCUUAUUUGUCUCAUCUUCUUCCUCUUUUCUUUUCUUGGUUUUUUUUUUUUUUUGGAUUCUGACCGAGAGCAACAACAAGAACACAAUGGUCUGGACCUUUUUUUCCUUGUCCAAAAAUUUGGAAAUGUCUUCCAACAUUCAGCAUCCUGAUGAAAGUGAGAUUGUGUAAAUUUUUUUCCCAGGUGUAGAAGAAAUUAGAGUAUUACGGGUCUCCUCCGGCCUCAAGAGGGUUAAGAAAAUGGCAAACAAAAGCACGAGAACGGAAAGCCAGCGGUCCAAGCAGAAAAGAUUUUUUUUUUUUUAAAGAGAG